AAUCAUUAUUUAUGUUUUAUUAGUUUACACGAUUACGUUUUUUAAAACAAUUUAAAGGCAAUAAAAAUAUGGAUAAGCAAGAUGUUAAAAAUCGCAAUGCCUUAUUUUCGAUUGCUAAUGAAAUUAAAAAGUUUCAUUUGGAACGAAACAAUAAUAAAAAUUAUAAGAAACAUUUAAAUCCUAUAUUUGAUGAAUUUCGAUUGUACAAGACGAGUGUUAAAGCAAAGACAAAACUGUUAGCCACUCUCAAGAAGAAGCUGCAUAUUGCCUGUGUAUUCGCAAAGAUUCUCCUGGCAAUCCAUGGAAAGAAAGGAACAAAUACCUAUGAAUUACAACAAAUUACUACCGUUAAACAUUCCACGAAUCCAGAAUUUAACUCGCAUAUAAUAAAUCAUAAUUUAACAUUUUCAAAACUUAUUAAUAUGGCAUAUGACCAACAUUGUUCCAACAAAGACGAACGUUGUAUAUCAGAGAUUGAUAAAUUAAAAGAAAUUAUCUGUCUUUUAAAUACCACAGCUACCAUGUUAAGCCAAGAAAAAGCAAAAUCUGAAAAUCUGGAGAGAAAAAAAAGAUUUCUUGCAACGAAAUUAAUGCUGACUGAAAAUCAUCUAAAAAAUUUAAUAAACCAAAACGAUCAAUUUAAAAAAGAAAACCUUAAAUUGGUCAAACUGCUUAAUUGUCAAAAAGACUCAGAAUUAUACCCUAUCCCCAAAUUAAAUUCAGUUAUUUUUAAUGGACAACAUAACAUAAAAUUAUAUUUAACAAACAUGCAAUCGUUAGUUAAUGAACAAACGAACAUUCUAAAAGAAUUAGAGAGCUUGUCUAAAGAAAAUAUAUAAUAAACUAUUUGUAAGUAUGUAAUACAUAAUUCUAAUCUUAACUUCCAAGUCUUCAACAGUUUGCAGGGACGAACAGUUGAGGGCGUCAAUUUAAUUGAGCAUUUGAAAUUACCGCAUUUAUAA